UACGUAGGGCGCAAGCGUUAUCCGGAAUUAUUGGGCGUAAAGAGCUCGUAGGCGGUUUGUCGCGUCUGCCGUGAAAAUUCGAGGCUCAACCUCGAACUUGCGGUGGGUACGGGCAGACUAGAGUGUGGUAGGGGGAGACUGGAAUUCCUGGUGUAGCGGUGAAAUGCGCAGAUAUCAGGAGGAACACCGAUGGCGAAGGCAGGUCUCUGGGCCACUACUGACGCUGAGAAGCGAAAGCAUGGGGGAGCGAACAGG
rnacentral:rRNA from 1 species